GCUUAACACAUGCAAGUCGAACGGACCGCAUACGCAGCUUGCUGCGUGUAUGGUUAGUGGCAGACGGGUGAGGAAUGCAUAGGAAUCUACCUAGUAGUAUGGGAUAGCCACUAGAAAUGGUGGGUAAUACUGUAUAAUCCCUGCGGGGGAAAGAUUUAUCGCUAUUAGAUGAGCCUAUGUCAGAUUAGCUAGUUGGUGGGGUAAUGGCCUACCAAGGCGGUGAUCUGUAGCUGGUCUGAGAGGAUGAUCAGCCACACUGGAACUGAGACACGGUCCAGACUCCUACGGGAGGCAGCAGUGGGGAAUAUUGGACAAUGGG
rnacentral:rRNA from 1 species